rnacentral:rRNA from 1 species
AAUAAUACCGUAUCUAAACCGACACAGGUGAAUUGGAGUUUAGUGCUCUAAGGCAAACAAGAUACAACCAUACUAAAGGAACUCGGCAAAAUGCUUUCGUGUUUAUUGAUAAGAAAGGUCUCGAUUGACCGCAGAUAAUAACUGACAACGACUGUUUAACAAAAACACAAGACUCUGCCAAAAACAAUAGAUGAUAAUUAUCCCGAUUGCGCAAAGCGCAAUCCGGGUAUCCCCCGGCUCGCUGCGCGAGCGGGGAAGAGAUAGUUAUUAUUAACUUCAUAUGCGACAAGUGUGUGAGGUGUUUGAAGUAAAGGGUCUGACAUCUGCCCAAAGGCGAAAGCAAACGGCAGCUGUAACUAUAACGGUUCUAAGGUAGCAAAAUCCCUUGACAUUUAAUUGGUGUCGCGCAUGAAUGAUGUAACGAUUGUCAGGCUGUCUCUAGUGUGGAUUCUGUGAAAUUGAAUUCUUUGUGCAGAUGCGAAGAAGUGUGGGUGGGACGAUAAGACCCUAUGCAUCUUUACAAAAUCAUUAUAAAUUGUAAUAUGGUUGUAAGUUGACUCGUAAGAGCGGUUUAUGACUAGUUUUUGUGGAUAUAUAUAUAUAUAAAUUUAAUAAACUUUAAGAGCAUUGCAUGGCUGGGAAAUUGCCUUUCUUUCAGAAGGCAGCUGCAAGUCCA